ensembl:snRNA U6 U6 spliceosomal RNA
GUGCUUGCUUCGGCAGCACAUAUACUAAAAUUUGAACGAUACAGAGAAGAGUAGCAUGGCCCCUGCUCAAGGAUGACAUGCAAAUUCAUGAAGUGUUCCAUAUUUUU